AUUGAACGCUGGCGGCAGGCUUAACACAUGCAAGUCGAGCGGAGAGAGGUAGCUUGCUACUGAUCUUAGCGGCGGACGGGUGAGUAAUGCUUAGGAAUCUGCCUAUUAGUGGGGGACAACAUUUCGAAAGGAAUGCUAAUACCGCAUACGUCCUACGGGAGAAAGCAGGGGAUCUUCGGACCUUGCGCUAAUAGAUGAGCCUAAGUCGGAUUAGCUAGUUGGUGGGGUAAAGGCCUACCAAGGCGACGAUCUGUAGCGGGUCUGAGAGGAUGAGCCGCCACACUGGGACUGAGACACGGCACAGACUCCUACGGGAGGCAGCAGUGGGGAAUAUUGGACAAUGGGCGGAAGCCUGAUCCAGCCAUGCCGCGUGUGUGAAGAAGGCCUUAUGGUUGUAAAGCACUUUAAGCGAGGAGGAGGCUACUUUAGUUAAUACCUAGAGAUAGUGGACGUUACUCGCAGAAUAAGCACCGGCUAACUCUGUGCCAGCAGCCGCAGUAACAC
rnacentral:rRNA from 1 species